rnacentral:rRNA from 1 species
GCAUGCCCCUUACGUCUUGGGCUACACACGUACUACAAUGCUCCGGACAAAGGGCAGCUACACAGCGAUGUGAUGCGAAUCUCAUAAACCGGAGCUCAGUUCAGAUCGAAGGCUGCAACUCGCCUUCGUGAAGGAGGAAUCGCUAGUAAUUGCAGGUCAGCAUACUGCAGUGAAUUCGUUCCCGGGCCUUGUACACACCGCCCGUCACACCAUGGAAGUUGGUCACGCCCGAAGUCGUUACCCCAACCUUUUGGAGGGGGAUGCCUAAGGUAGGACUGAUGACUGGGGUGAAGUCGUAACAAGGUAGCCGUACCGGAAGGUGUGGCUGGAUCACCUCCUUUUAGGGAGA